rnacentral:misc_RNA from 1 species
AUAGUGCAUACCGUUCCCAUUCGGGCUUCAGCCCUCGUCCGAUCAUCGUCUCGAAUUUGUUCCGAAAUCGUUUCGAAUCGUAUUUCCGAGCCGGAGAGAGGGUAGAACGACGUGGGGACGAGUCCAGUCAUCGAUCUUCGCCUGCGCUUCACGUACUGCAAACCUCCUGUUGCACCGUCGCAAUCUGACACUAUGCAGACCGAGCUUCUCUCGAGCCCAAAUUAUUACAACCAUUGGAUUUCCACCGGGGCAAAUGAACCAAAUAUUCCACAAGAUCCGCGAUACUGGACGAGACACGAUGUUGUUACCUGGUUGCAGUACAUGGCUGAAAUGCACCAUCUUCCGAAUGUCGCGACUGAUCGGUUCAUCAUGAAUGGUAAGGCCCUCUGCCUCAUGACGGUUUCGAUGUUUCUCGACAGAGUUCCGCUUGGGGGGAAACUCCUUUACAAAGACUUCCAGUUACGACUCGCACGGGCCAUGUAUUCGAAUGAGUCUUAUCCUAACUGUUGAGAGAAUUGCAGAAACCUUCAUUAAGCUUUGGGACUUUUCAGCUUUGUACAUACUUUUUCAUUUCAAGGCAUUCUACCAAAGGAAAAAUGAAAAAUCUCUCAGCUAAA